rnacentral:misc_RNA from 1 species
GCGGCGAAUAUGCAUCAAGAUCCAGAGUGUUCCUGACUCUGACGGCUAAAAGGGUGCGCAGGCGUCUUAAAGCUGAAGCACGAUUCUUGUGCUGUGAACGGUCCUCAACAGCCUGAGAAAUAAUACCGGUGGGGAUGUGUUUGAGGCGGACGGCGGACUCGCGCUUGUUGCGGUGCUGACCACCAGGGCCCGACGCCUUGAAUGUGUCCAUCACGCACUGUUUCAUGAGUUCCUCGUCAGUUAAUUCCAAGUAUUUGCUUCCAAUUAUAUUACUAGCAGCGCUGUGAGUAAAACAACACAGUUGGAAUUCUGGGCGCAUGCUUGUUAUCGUUGUCGUAUUUGUAUUGUUACAGAAGAAACUGCGACUGUAAUGGGCCACAAUACAGCCAUUACUUGUGC